ensembl:rRNA 5S_rRNA 5S ribosomal RNA
GUCUGAGGCCACAUCACCCUGAACGUGCCCAAUCUCGUCUGAUCUCAAAAGCUAAGCAGGGUCAGGCCUGAUUAGUACUUGGACAGAUCUUCAGAAGAGACUGCUCAGAGA